GUAAGGACAUGUGGAGCGCUUAGAAGUGAGAAUGCCGGUGUGAGUAGCGAAAGACGGGUGAGAAUCCCGUCCACCGAUUGACUAAGGUUUCCAGAGGAAGGCUCGUCCGCUCUGGGUUAGUCGGGUCCUAAGCUGAGGCCGACAGGCGUAGGCGAUGGAUAACAGGUUGAUAUUCCUGUACCACCUAUAAUCGUUUUAAUCGAUGGGGGGACGCAGUAGGAUAGGCGAAGCGUGCGAUUGGAUUGCACGUCUAAGCAGUAAGGCUGAGUAUUAGGCAAAUCCGGUACUCGUUAAGGCUGAGCUGUGAUGGGGAGAAGACAUUGUGUCUUCGAGUCGUUGAUUUCACACUGCCGAGAAAAGCCUCUAGAUAGAAAAUAGGUGCCCGUACCGCAAACCGACACAGGUAGUCAAGAUGAGAAUUCUAAGGUGAGCGAGCGAACUCUCGUUAAGGAACUCGGCAAAAUGACCCCGUAACUUCGGGAGAAGGGGUGCUCUUUAGGGUUAACGCCCAGAAGAGCCGCAGUGAAUAGGCCCAAGCGACUGUUUAUCAAAAACACAGGUCUCUGCUAAACCGUAAGGUGAUGUAUAGGGGCUGACGCCUGCCCGGUGCUGGAAGGUUAAGAGGAGUGGUUAGCUUCUGCGAAGCUACGAAUCGAAGCCCCAGUAAACGGCGGCCGUAACUAUAACGGUCCUAAGGUAGCGAAAUUCCUUGUCGGGUAAGUUCCGACCCGCACGAAAGGCGUAACGAUUUGGGCACUGUCUCAACGAGAGACUCGGUGAAAUCAUAGUACCUGUGAAGAUGCAGGUUACCCGCGACAGGACGGAAAGACCCCGUGGAGCUUUACUGUAGCCUGAUAUUGAAAUUCGGCACAGCUUGUACAGGAUAGGUAGGAGCCUUUGAAACGUGAGCGCUAGCUUACGUGGAGGCGCUGGUGGGAUACUACCCUAGCUGUGUUGGCUUUCUAACCCGCACCACUUAUCGUGGUGGGAGACAGUGUCAGGCGGGCAGUUUGACUGGGGCGGUCGCCUCCUAAAAGGUAACGGAGGCGCUCAAAGGUUCCCUCAGAAUGGUUGGAAAUCAUUCAUAGAGUGUAAAGGCAUAAGGGAGCUUGACUGCGAGACCUACAAGUCGAGCAGGGUCGAAAGACGGACUUAGUGAUCCGGUGGUUCCGCAUGGAAGGGCCAUCGCUCAACGGAUAAAAGCUACCCCGGGGAUAACAGGCUUAUCUCCCCCAAGAGUUCACAUCGACGGGGAGGUUUGGCACCUCGAUGUCGGCUCAUCGCAUCCUGGGGCUGUAGUCGGUCCCAAGGGUUGGGCUGUUCGCCCAUUAAAGCGGUACGCGAGCUGGGUUCAGAACGUCGUGAGACAGUUCGGUCCCUAUCCGUCGUGGGCGUAGGAAAUUUGAGAGGAGCUGUCCUUAGUACGAGAGGACCGGGAUGGACAUACCUCUGGUGUACCAGUUGUCGUGCCAACGGCAUAGCUGGGUAGCUAUGUGUGGACGGGAUAAGUGCUGAAAGCAUCUAAGCAUGAAGCCCCCCUCAAGAUGAGAUUUCCCAACUUCGGUUAUAAGAUCCCUCAAAGAUGAUGAGGUUAAUAGGUUCGAGGUGGAAGCAUGGUGACAUGUGGAGCUGACGAAUACUAAUCGAUCGAAGACUUAAUCAA
rnacentral:rRNA from 1 species